CUUAAUACUUGGUAAACCUACCGAAAGAUAGGGCAACAAAGCCAAAUGAGUCUAAAAUCUCAUAUACGAGGUCAUGGCAGCUGGUUGCUUUU
rnacentral:ncRNA from 1 species